rnacentral:rRNA from 1 species
AUACGGAGGGUGCAAGCGUUAUCCGGAAUCAUUGGGUUUAAAGGGUCCGUAGGCGGGCAAUUAAGUCAGAGGUGAAAUCCCACAGCUCAACUGUGGAACUGCCUUUGAUACUGAUUGUCUUGAGUUUUAGUGAAGUAGAUAGAAUGUGUAGUGUAGCGGUGAAAUGCAUAGAUAUUACACAGAAUAACGAUUGCGAAGGCAGUCUACUAACUAACAACUGACGCUAAUGGACGAAAGCGUGGGGAGCGAACAGGAUUAGAUACCCCAGUAGUCC